rnacentral:rRNA from 1 species
GUAGGUGGCAAGCGUUGUCCGGAAUUAUUGGGCGUAAAGCGCGCGCAGGCGGUCCUUUAAGUCUGAUGUGAAAGCCCACGGCUCAACCGUGGAGGGUCAUUGGAAACUGGGGGACUUGAGUACAGAAGAGGAAAGCGGAAUUCCAAGUGUAGCGGUGAAAUGCGUAGAGAUUUGGAGGAACACCAGUGGCGAAGGCGGCUUUCUGGUCUGUAACUGACGCUGAGGCGCGAAAGCGUGGGGAGCAAACAGGAUUAGAUACCCUGGUAGUCCACGCUGUAAACGAUGAGUGCUAAGUGUUAGGGGGUUUCCCGCCCCUUAGUGCUGCAGCUAACGCAUUAAGCACUCCGCCUGGGGAGUACGCCGCAAGGCUG